ensembl:rRNA 5S_rRNA 5S ribosomal RNA
ACCUGCAGCCAUGCCACCUUGCAUUAUUAUCUCAUCAGCUCUUGCAAGCUAAGAAGUGUCAGUUCUGGUCAAUACUUGGAUAAGAGACCUUUAAGGAAAAUCCAGGAUGCUUUAGAAA